GCGGGGGUGUCCGAGUCUGGCCAAAGGAGGCGGACUUAAGAUCCGCUCGCGUAGGCGUUCGAGGGUUCGAAUCCCUUCCCCCGCA
rnacentral:tRNA from 1 species